rnacentral:rRNA from 1 species
AACGCGAAGAACCUUACCUACCCUUGACAUGUACGGAAGCCCUCAGAGAUGGGGGCGUGCCCGAAAGGGAGCCGUAACACAGGUGCUGCAUGGCUGUCGUCAGCUCGUGUCGUGAGAUGUUGGGUUAAGUCCCGCAACGAGCGCAACCCUUGUCCCUAGUUGCUACGCAAGGGCACUCUAGGGAGACUGCCGGUGACAAACCGGAGGAAGGUGGGGAUGACGUCAAGUCCUCAUGGCCCUUAUGGGUAGGGCUUCACACGUCAUACAAUGGCCGGUACAGAGGGUUGCCAAAGCGCGAGCUGGAGCCAAUCCCAGAAAGCCGGUCGUAGUCCGGAUUGCAGUCUGCAACUCGACUGCAUGAAGUCGGAAUCGCUAGUAAUCGCGGAUCAGCAUGUCGCGGUGAAUACGUUCCCGGGCCUUGUA